ensembl:snRNA U6 U6 spliceosomal RNA
GAGUUACUUCAGCAGCACAUAUAUUAAUAUUGGAGUGAUACAGAGAAGAUUAGCAUGACCCCUGUGCAAGGAUGACACACAAAUUCAUGAAGAUUUAUUUUU